rfam:Heterocephalus glaber contig227763, whole genome shotgun sequence.
GUCUAUGGCCAUACCACUCUAAACGCGCCCGAUGUUGUCUGAUCUCAGAAGCCAAGCAGGGUCGGACCCGGUUAGUAUUUAAAUGGAAGAGAAAGGCUGGGCUGUGACAAUUC